rnacentral:hammerhead_ribozyme from 1 species
ACCUUGCUGAUGAGUGCCAAGUAGCACGAAACCCGAGUCCAGGAU